rnacentral:rRNA from 1 species
CAGUAGCGUAUAUUAAAGUUGUUGCAGUUAAAAUGCUCGUAGUUGAAGUUCGGAUGCAGCAGAGCUUGGAAACGCUGUUAUGGUGCUUCCGUUGCUUUUGCUUGUCCACAGUGCGUUGCAAGUACGUAUGUGCUUGUGCGUGCAUUUUACUUUGAGAAACAUAGGGUGUUCCACGCAUGUUACGGCAUGAAUAUUCCAGCAUGGGAUAAUCUGGUACGACUUCCAAUCUGCCAUUUUGGUUCGUAGGUUGGAAGUAAUGAUUAAUAGGGACGGUUGGGGGCAUUAGUAUUCAGUUGCUAGAGGUGAAAUUCUUAGAUUUACUGAAGACUAACUACUGCGAAAGCAUUUGCCAAGGACGUUUUCAUUAA